rnacentral:rRNA from 1 species
AACGAACGCUGGCGGCGUGGAUAAGACAUGCAAGUCGAACGGGACAGACCGAGUAGCAAUAUUUGGAAUGUUCAGUGGCGAACGGGUGCGUAACACGUGGAUAACAUUCCGGAAAGCGGGGAAUAGCCCAGGGAAACUUGGAUUAAUACCGCAUGUGGCCGCAAGGCUAAAGACGGGGACCGCAAGGCCUGUCACUUUCCGAUUGGUCCGCGGCCUAUCAGCUAGUGGGCGGGGUAAUGGCCCACCAAGGCUACGACGGGUAGCUGGUCUUAGAGGACGGCCAGCCACACUGGAACUGAGACACGGUCCAGACACCUACGGGGGGCAGCAGGCGAGAAUCUUUCACAAUGAGGGCAACCCGGAUGGAGCGACGCCGCGUGGAGGAUAAGGUCUUCGGAUUGUAAACCCCUGUCAUGCGAGAACAAGGUACUCAGGCUAAUAACCUGAUUGUUUGAUGGUACCGCAAGAGGAAGAGACGGCUGACUCUGUGCCAGCCGCCGCCGUAAAAC